CCUACGGGAGGCAGCAGUGAGGAAUAUUGGACAAUGGGCGCAAGCCUGAUCCAGCCAUGCCGCGUGCAGGAUGAAGCAUCUAUGGUGUGUAAACUGCUUUUGUACAGGAAGAAACCUCCCGACGUGUCGGGAAUUGACGGUACUGUAAGAAUAAGGAUCGGCUAACUCCGUGCCAGCAGCCGCGGUAAUACGGAGGAUCCAAGCGUUAUCCGGAAUCAUUGGGUUUAAAGGGUCCGUAGGCGGGCCAGUAAGUCAGUGGUGAAAUCUCUCCGCUCAACGGGGAAAUGGCCAUUGAUACUGCUGGUCUUGAAUUAUUAGGAAGUAACUAGAAUAUGUAGUGUAGCGGUGAAAUGCUUAGAGAUUACAUGGAAUACCAAUUGCGAAGGCAGGUUACUACUAAUGGAUUGACGCUGAUGGACGAAAGCGUGGGUAGCGAACAGGAUUAGAUACCCUGGUAGUCCACGCCGUAAACGAUAGGAUACUAGCUGUUGGGGGCAACGUUCAGUGGCUAAGCGAAAGUGAUAAGUAUCCCACCUGGGGAGUACGUUCGCAAGAAUGAAACUUAAAGGAAAUUGACGG
rnacentral:rRNA from 1 species